rnacentral:lncRNA from 1 species
CCGCUGCCAUCUUCGGAUGCUGUGUCCCGCACGGAGGGUCCACCAGGGCAGGGAUAGUGGUGAGGGUCGCUCGUGGAUCCCCUCGCGGGGAGCAGGGUCUGGCACACACCAGGGCGCAGGAUUAGGACUUGUUGAAUGAAUCCAUCAUGGCCUUUAUCUUUUAGUCCUCUGAAGAGCGUUGAGAAUGGAAAUCAUAAGAUAUUUUUUCCAUUAGGAAGUUCUUUUUACAAGGCGUUUAUUCAGGUUGACUUCUCGGCACCCCGCGGGGCGGGCAACGGGCAGGGCCUCCAGUGCACCUUCUGCGCAGUGGAGCCGCGGGGGCUCAGCUGGGCGGUGGUCGGGUCGUGAGGCGGGAGGGCGGGAGCGGGGGAAGGGAAAAGCAAAAGCGGGGAAAGAAGCCGGGGAGCGGUGGACCAGACAUUCAGACCUCCUGAAAGGCUCGUGCGGAGGCAGAGGCGGGAUCUUCCGGAGUGUGGAAGAUGAUCAAAGUAUGACAUUUCUUCUACCCCAGAGGCUGGCAUUUCUGCAGGCACAAAUGAGCUUGGUUUUCAAGCACUGCUCUUUGAACACAAGGAAUUCCUUUAAUGAUCACGCCGGACUAUAUAGACUUUGGAAUCAGACUCUUUGAAUUCCAGCUCUGCCAUUUACCAACUUUGACACUUUGGACAACGUCUCAUUCUGUCACCCAGGCUGGAGUGCAAUGGCACAAUUAUAGCUCACUGCAGCCUCAAACACCUGGGCUCAAGCAAUCCUUCCACCUCUGCCUCCUGAGUAAUUGGGACUACAGGCAUGUGCCACCACACCCAGCUAAUUUUUAAUUUUUAAUUUUUUUGUAGAGAUGGCGGUCUUGCUAUGUCACCCAGGCUGGUCUUGAACACCUGGCCUCAAGUGAUCCUCCGGCCUUGGUCUCUCAAAGCUCUGGGAUUACAGACAUGAGCCACUGCACCCGGCUCUAUCUCCCCUUCCUAUGUGUGUUAGCUCUAGAACAAGAGAAGCCUUGUUGAGAUUCCUGGCUGCCCACCCCCCAUCACCUCUCUGACUUUGGGCAAGUUGCCUGGCCUCUCUCAGCCUUUAUUUUCUUUUUGUGAAAUGGGGAUAAUAAUAGUACUUGCCUCAUAGGCAAAAUGUUGUGAGAACUAAACGAGAAAAUGCAUGUAAAGCACUUGGCACUUAGUUCUUUUUAUGAUUAUAAUGAUAAUCAGACACAAUAAAUUAUGUCUCACAUCACAUGCUGUUUAGCCUAUUCACUGUUCUAUUUUUCCUGAAGUCAGUUCAGUGUGUAGCAUCCAGAAUUGAACAAAACACCCCCGAUGUGACCUGAUAGUGCAAAGUAAACUAUCAUCUCCUUCAUUCUAGGUAUUAUGUUUCUAUUAAUGCAGUCUAAAGGUAGGAUAUGAGUUGUUUUGUUUAUGUAUCUUUUUUUUUUUUU